GGAAUUGACGGGACCCGCACAAGCGGUGGAUGAUGUGGAUUAAUUCGAUGCAACGCGAAGAACCUUACCUACCCUUGACAUGUCCGGAACUUGCCAGAGAUGGCUUGGUGCCCGAAAGGGAAUCGGAACACAGGUGCUGCAUGGCUGUCGUCAGCUCGUGUCGUGAGAUGUUGGGUUAAGUCCCGCAACGAGCGCAACCCUUGUCAUUAGUUGCUACAUUCAGUUGGGCACUCUAAUGAGACUGCCGGUGACAAACCGGAGGAAGGUGGGGAUGACGUCAAGUCCUCAUGGCCCUUAUAGGUGGGGCUACACACGUCAUACAAUGGAUGGUACAAAGGGUCGCCAACCCGCGAGGGGGAGCCAAUCCCAUAAAGCCAUUCGUAGUCCGGAUCGCAGUCUGCAACUCGACUGCGUGAAGUCGGAAUCGCUAGUAAUCGUGGAUCAGAAUGUCACGGUGAAUACGUUCCCGGGUCUU
rnacentral:rRNA from 1 species